rnacentral:rRNA from 1 species
GAUGAACGCUGGCGGCGUGCCUAAUACAUGCAAGUCGAGCGAACAGACGAGGAGCUUGCUCCUCUGACGUUAGCGGCGGACGGGUGAGUAACACGUGGAUAACCUACCUAUAAGACUGGGAUAACUUCGGGAAACCGGAGCUAAUACCGGAUAAUAUAUUGAACCGCAUGGUUCAAUAGUGAAAGACGGUUUUGCUGUCACUUAUAGAUGGAUCCGCGCCGCAUUAGCUAGUUGGUAAGGUAACGGCUUACCAAGGCGACGAUGCGUAGCCGACCUGAGAGGGUGAUCGGCAACACUGGAACUGAGACACGGUCCAGACUCCUACGGGAGGCAGCAGUAGGGAAUCUUCCGCAAUGGGCGAAAGCCUGACGGAGCAACGCCGCGUGAGUGAUGAAGGUCUUCGGAUCGUAAAACUCUGUUAUUAGGGAAGAACAAAUGUGUAAGUAACUAUGCACGUCUUGACGGUACCUAAUCAGAAAGCCACGGAUAACUACGUG